rnacentral:tRNA from 1 species
GGUUCUAUAGUGUAGCGUUAGCACAUCUGCUUUACACGCAGAAGAUCCUAGGUUCACGUCCCAGAAGGUCCU